rnacentral:rRNA from 1 species
GACAGAGGGUGCAAACGUUGUUCGGAAUUACUGGGCGUAAAGCGUGUGUAGGCUGCUCUGUAAGUCGGAUGUGAAAGCCCUGGGCUCAACCUAGGAAGUGCAUUCGAAACUGCAGAGCUCGAGUCCUGGAGAGGAAGGCGGAAUUCUCGGUGUAGAGGUGAAAUUCGUAGAUAUCGAGAGGAACACCGGUGGCGAAGGCGGCCUUCUGGACAGUGACUGACGCUGAGACACGAAAGCGUGGGGAGCAAACAGG